GUGGCCGCGGGAAUUCGAUUCGCGGCCUAUCAGCUUGUUGGUGGGGUAAUGGCCUACCAAGGCGACGACGGGUAGCCGGCCUGAGAGGGUGUCCGGCCACACUGGGACUGAGAUACGGCCCAGACUCCUACGGGAGGCAGCAGUGGGGAAUAUUGCACAAUGGGCGCAAGCCUGAUGCAGCGACGCCGCGUGGGGGAUGACGGCCUUCGGGUUGUAAACCUCUUUCAGUAUCGGCGAAUCUCCAGGAUUUUUCUUGGGGUGACGGUAGGUACAGAAGAAGCACCGGCCAACUACGUGCCAGCAGCCGCGGUAAUACCUAGGGUGCGAGCGUUGUCCGGAAUUGCUGGGCGUAAAGAGCUCGUAGGUGGUUUGUCCGUUGUCCGUGAAAACUCACAGCUUAACUGUGGGCUUGCGGGCGAUACUGGCAGACUGGUGUACUGCAGGGGAGACUGGAAUUCUUGG
rnacentral:rRNA from 1 species